CCUACGGGCGACAGCAGUGAGGAAUAUUGGUCAAUGGGCGGGAGCCUGAACCAGCCAAGCCGCGUGAAGGAAGAAGGCUCCAGGCGUCGUAAACUCUUUUUGCCGGGGAACAAAUGGCGCUACGCGUGGCGUUGUGAGUGUAUCCGUAGAUAAAGCAUCGGCAAACUCCGCGCCAGCAGCCGCGGUAAUACGGAGGAUGCGAGCGUUAUCCGGAUUUAUUGGGUUAAAAGGGUGCGUAGGCGGUCCGGAAAGUCAGCGGUAAAGGCCCGGGGCUAAACCCCGGCGAGCCGUUGAAACUGUGGGACUAGAGAGGGCGAGAGGUACGCGGAAUGCGGAGGGUAGCGGUGAAAUGCAUAGAUA
rnacentral:rRNA from 1 species